AAUGAACGUUGGCGGCGUGGAUUAGGCAUGCAAGUCGUACGGGGCCGCAAGGUACCCGUGGCGCAAGGGUGAGUAAGGCGACGGUAACCUACCCCAGGGCUGGCCAUCGCCGCGGGAAACCGCGGGUAAUAGCCAGCGACGUGUCUGGAAGGCAUCUUCCUGCCACCAAAGGUGUGAUUCCGCCCUGGGACGCGCCGUCGUGGUAUUAGGUAGUGGGCGGGGUAACGGCCCACCAAGCCGCUGAUGCCUACCGGGGGUGCGACCGUGGCCCGGCACACUGGGACUGAGACACAGCCCAGAACCCUACGGGAGGCUGGAGUCGAGAAUCUUCGGCAAUGGGCGCAGGCCUGACCGAGCGACGCCGCGUGGAGGACGAAGGCCUUCGGGUUGUAAACUCCUGUCGAGGGGAAGGAAGGGACGGCGCAGAGCCGUUCUUGACCGCUCCCUGGAGGAAGCACGGGCUAAGUUCGUGCCAGCAGCCGCCGCUGUAA
rnacentral:rRNA from 1 species